rnacentral:rRNA from 1 species
CUAGCCGUAAACGAUGAUUACUCGUUGUUGGCGAUAUAUUGUCAGCGACUGAGCGAAAGCAUUAAGUAAUCCACCUGGGGAGUACGGCGGCAACGCUGAAACUCAAAGGAAUUGACGGGGGCCCGCACAAGCGGAGGAACAUGUGGUUUAAUUCGAUGAUACGCGAGGAACCUUACCUGGGCUUAAAUGUAGCAUGACCGUAUCCGAAAGGGUAUUUCCCCGCAAGGGGCAGGUUACAAGGUGCUGCAUGGCUGUCGUCAGCUCGUGCCGUGAGGUGUCGGGUUAAGUACCAUAACGAGCGCAACCCCUAUUGUUAGUUGCCAGCGGGUAAUGCCGGGAACUCUAACGAAACUGCCGGUGUAAACCGU